ensembl:snoRNA U3 Small nucleolar RNA U3
GUGAGGAGGAGGCACAGGGCUCUCUCCUGAGUGCCAGGCCAGCUCUUGGUGUUGCUUUGCUGCAGGUGCCAUUUGGCAUUGAGAAUUAAUUUUCUCUUCCUCCAGGAAAGUAAGCAGGAGAGGGCACAGUCUGAGU